UUCACUGACAGAGGGAACAACAAGGGCAUGAACCCCAAGAGGCAAGGAUGACAGGAGCCAUCUUGAAGGCUGGCGACCACAGAUCCACACCUAACUCCAAACCACCAAAUUACUCGGAGUGUGUGUCGGGUUGCAGAAAAUGAAAUGACCAUAAUAACUCCAAGACAGAGCAGAAGGUUCAUCUGAGUCAUACCAAAUAACUUCAUUGCUGCUAAAGUAAAAUUUGAAAAUGAUUGAAGUGAUUUUUAUGAUCAGCCUUUUGGAAGUCAUUCAAAAGUGCUGCAAUGCUACUUCAAAGAAGAUAAUUCAAAUUUAAAUGUCACUCUUCAGUGUUGUUUAUCAACAGCUGAGUAUUAAAAUUGGUGAGCUUGAUUUGUGUUAUUUCACUUCACCAGCUUAUAAUUUAAACACUCUUAUACUUAUUAUUUGAAUAAAUGGAAUAAACACAAGUCAAACUUUGGUAGUGAGGUGCUCAUCUUCAGAGGAGUUCAAUUAGAUUGGAAAAACAUUUUGUAGAGAUCUUGUAGAACAACAGCUCUCUACCUUGAAUGCACACUGGAAUCACCUAUGGGGUUCUAAAAAAAUAUCAAUGCUUAGGUCUCACCCCUGGAAAUUCUCAUAUAAUUGGGCUGAGGUGGGACCUGAGCACUGAGAUUUUUAAAACUUGCCAACUCAUUCUAAUAUACAGCAAAAGUUGAGAACAACUGCUACAGAAGGAACUCAAGCAUUGGAUGGAAAGCUGGAAUAAUGACAUUUCAGGAUCCUUUCAACUCUGAAAGUCUAUGUCUAAUUGUACAUGUGACCCUACUAUGACAUCGUACUAAAGCAGACCUGAAAUGUCUUUGGAUAUACAAAUUAGGAAUACAUCGUUACAGUCAUUCUUUCUAGAUGUAGUUUCAAAGUACAAAGAAGAUGCUGCUAUUAUUUACACUUCUCUUUCAAGUUCUGAUUAUCUAUUGAAGAGACCUUAAAAUAAACAAUUUAAUCAAUUCAAUUAUUAAAAAUAUACUGAGCAUCUACUGUCAGCAAAACACAGUACCCACAAAAAUGUGGGUACUGAACAUUUAUUAAUGAGUAAGCCAGAGUCAGAUUUUUUUGGAACUUACAAUUCAAUGGGCACAAAUGGUUGUACUACAAAAGUAAGGGGAGUAUGUUUGCAGUCUAAGUGCAUGAUGGUUCAUUUAAGUGAUUAUGUUCAGCUGUGAAGUAGAAAGGCUGGCAGAAGUAUUCUUUUUAUCACUGCAAAAGUCCAUACCUUAUUCACUUUAUUGAAGAAUAAUAAAUGUAAAAGUAAAUUUUAAAGUUUCAGG
rnacentral:lncRNA from 10 species